GGAAUAUUUGUGAUACGCCUGUUGGGUAGGGGAGCGUUGUGUAAGUCGAUGAAGGUGUAUUGAGAAGUAUGCUGGAGAUAUCACAAGUGCGAAUGCUGACAUAAGUAACGAUAAAACGAGUGAAAAACUCGUUCGCCGGAAGACCAAGGGUUCCUGUCCAACGUUAAUCGGGGCAGGGUGAGUCGGCCCCUAAGGCGAGGCUGAAAAGCGUAGUCGAUGGGAAACGGGUUAAUAUUCCCGUACUUGGUAAAGCUGCGAUGUGGGGACGGAGAAGGUUAGGUUAGCAGACUGUUGGAUGUCUGUUUAAGUUGGUAGGUGGGAAGUUUAGGCAAAUCCGGACUUCCAUAACACUGAGAGAUGAUGACGAGUUUCUACGGAAAUGAAGUAACUGAUACCACGCUUCCAGGAAAAGCCACUAAGCGAAAGGCUUUACUAAACCGUACUGAAAACCGACACAGGUGGUCAGGUAGAGAAUACUCAGGCGCUUGAGAGAACUCGGGUGAAGGAACUAGGCAAAAUAGCACCGUAACUUCGGGAGAAGGUGCGCUGGCGUAGGUUGUAGGAGUAUACCUCCGAAGGCUGAACCAGUCGAAGAUACCAGCUGGCUGCAACUGUUUAUUAAAAACACAGCACUCUGCAAACACGAAAGUGGACGUAUAGGGUGUGAUGCCUGCCCGGUGCUGGAAGGUUAAUUGAUGGUGUUAUCGAAAGAGAAGCUCCUGAUCGAAGCCCCAGUAAACGGCGGCCGUAACUAUAACGGUCCUAAGGUAGCGAAAUUCCUUGUCGGGUAAGUUCCGACCUGCACGAAUGGCAUAAUGAUGGCCAGGCUGUCUCCACCCGAGACUCAGUGAAAUUGAAAUCGCCGUGAAGAUGCGGUGUACCCGCGGCUAGACGGAAAGACCCCGUGAACCUUUACUAUAGCUUGACACUGAACAUUGAAUUUUGAUGUGUAGGAUAGGUGGGAGACUAAGAAGCAGGCACGCCAGUGCUUGUGGAGUCGACCUUGAAAUACCACCCUUUAACGUUUGAUGUUCUAACGAAGAUUACGAAACGUGGUCUCGGACAGUGUCUGGUGGGUAGUUUGACUGGGGCGGUCUCCUCCCAAAGCGUAACGGAGGAGCACGAAGGUUUGCUAAUCACGGUCGGACAUCGUGAGGUUAGUGCAAUGGUAUAAGCAAGCUUAACUGCGAGACAGACAAGUCGAGCAGGUGCGAAAGCAGGUCAUAGUGAUCCGGUGGUUCUGAAUGGAAGGGCCAUCGCUCAACGGAUAAAAGGUACUCCGGGGAUAACAGGCUGAUACCGCCCAAGAGUUCAUAUCGACGGCGGUGUUUGGCACCUCGAUGUCGGCUCAUCACAUCCUGGGGCUGAAGUAGGUCCCAAGGGUAUGGCUGUUCGCCAUUUAAAGUGGUACGCGAGCUGGGUUUAGAACGUCGUGAGACAGUUCGGUCCCUAUCUGCCGUGGGCGUUGGAGAAUUGAGAGGGGCUGCUCCUAGUACGAGAGGACCGGAGUGGACGCAUCACUGGUGUACCAGUUGUCUCGCCAGAGGCACUGCUGGGUAGCUAAAUGCGGAAGAGAUAAGUGCUGAAAGCAUCUAAGCACGAAACUCGCCUUAAGAUGAGUUCUCCCUAGCUAUAAGCUAGUAAGGGUUGUUGAAGACUACGACGUAGAUAGGUCUGGUGUGUAAGCGGUGUGAGCCGUUGAGCUAACAGAUACUAAUUGCCCGAGAGGCUUAACUAU
rnacentral:rRNA from 1 species